AUAUGGACCACAUUAGAGCAUCUCAUAUUAUAUUCAUUGUGGGCUUUUCAUUAUCAAGAUAUUGGAGAAAUUAGCCCAAGGGACAGAUUCUUUUUAUUUGUUGUUUCUCUUAUCUUUCUUGUUCCUUCUUUUUUGUCUUUUGGUCUCUUUCUCGAGUUCUUCUCUUUCUCUCUCUUUUUCUGAUUUUUUUUUUUGGAAAUAUUUCAUUACUUUGUUUGUGUCUCUUGUCUCUGCCUUUUUGCUCAAGAAUUGUUGCUGCUGUAAACUCAUGAUCUAUCCAUCUUUCAGUUAUUUGUAAUGUAAGCAUUCAUCCGUCGAGGCCACCACUGCCGACCGUGACGGCCACCACCACUACCUAAAGAAAUAUUAGUUAAAAGAUAUUCACUCUUUAUUGAAAUUUUUUAUUAAAUUAUUUAUAUGCCAAUUUCUUAUGUAAUUUAAUUUUUUUAGUUGAAGAGUUCAUUUUUGUAUAUGGUUGUCACAUUUGUACUUUUGUGUUUCACUUUUUACCUUUCUCCAAUUCAAAGCUGAAUUCAGAACAUGCAAGGAAAACCAAUUUCUAUUUGCCUCUA